AGUUUUUCCCGAACGAAGCGCACCCUCGCCUUUAGUUGCCAUCACGUUUGGGUGGGCACUCUAAAGGAACUGCCGGUGACAAGCCGGAGGAAGGUGGGGAUGACGUCAAGUCCUCAUGGCCCUUAUGUCCUGGGCUACACACGUGCUACAAUGGCGGUGACAGUGGGAAGCCAGGUGGUGACACCGAGCCGAUCUCAAAAAGCCGUCUCAGUUCGGAUUGCACUCUGCAACUCGAGUGCAUGAAGGUGGAAUCGCUAGUAAUCGCGGAUCAGCAUGCCGCGGUGAAUACGUUCCCGGGA
rnacentral:rRNA from 1 species